rnacentral:rRNA from 1 species
ACGUAGGGUCCAAGCGUUAUCCGGAAUCACUGGGCGUAAAGCGUGCGUAGGCGGGUGCUUAAGUGCUAUGCGAAAUCUUGUGGCUCAACCAUAAGACUGUAUCGCAUACUGGGUACCUAGAGGAAUGCAGAGGCAAGUGGAAUUACCGGUGUAGCAGUGAAAUGCGUAGAUAUCGGUAGGAACACCAAUGGCGAAGGCAGCUUGCUGGGCAUUAUCUGACGCUAAGGCACGAAAGCGUGGGGAGCGAACAGGAUUAGAUACCCUGGUAGUCCACGCCGUAAACGAUGCACACUAUUAGUAUGGAGUAUCGACCCUCUGUGCUGAGAAGCUAACGCGAUAAGUGUGCCGCCUGGGGAGUACGAGCGCAAGCUUA